AUGGAACAAUACGUCUGCCUCUGGGAGCUCUUGUCGGAUAUCCAGCUUCAUCCUGACACUGAGGACUCCAUUACCUGGUCCUUGACCCCGAAUGGGUGCUACUCGACCACCUCCGCCUACAAGGUCCAGUUCCUUGCCUCUUUGCCCUGCCAGUUCGGGAACAUCGUGUGGAAGACCUGGGCCCCUCCAAAGUGUCGUUUCUUCGCCUGGCUCGCUGUCCAGAACCGUUUAUGGACCGCCGAUCGCUUGGCGAAACGCGGAUGGCCGCACCAACCUACUUGUCAGCUCUGCCGUACCUCCCCUGAGACGGCACGACACAUUCUUUUCGAGUGCCGCUUCUCCAGACGUAUCUGGACGGCCGCGGCCUCUUGGCUGUCUUGUCCAAACCUCAUCAGCAGCAUCGGGGAGGGUAGGCCUAAAGUCGUGGACUAUUGGUUGGCCGUUUCGAAGUCCACCACCUCCUCCCCAAAUGGCUUGCGCUCAGCUAUCACGCUCAUCACUUAG
rnacentral:rRNA from 1 species